GUUCGAACCUAAGGCGGUAGCACAGGAACCAAUUCCUGUACUAAUCGAAGUGACCAUCUAGCAAUGGUACCCGAUAUUCGAAUAGGUCGAAUAGUCACAAUCACAAUACUCAGAACUUACGUGAAUAUGGUUACUGUAUAAUUCAUCCCUUUUGACCCCUGUGUUUAAGAUGACUCAGGGUUAAACUGUCAACCUUAAUUAGAUCAUCCGAAUCGUACUCAACUCAAACAGUCCUGUGACUCCUCACUAGGACUACCCUGGCCAAGGUUUUGCUAAAUUGAAAUACGACUGUACAUAACUCCUGAACUAGAGUGGUCAAUCCCAUCUUGACACACGCACCGACAAGUCAAGUACUUGACUACACCCAGUAACCUUCCGUCACUGAAUUAGAAAUUCAGGUAAUCCAGUGCCUAAGUGCAGUGAGUUGC
rnacentral:lncRNA from 1 species